UACGGAGGGAGCUAGCGUUGUUCGGAAUUACUGGGCGUAAAGCGCACGUAGGCGGCUUUGUAAGUUAGAGGUGAAAGCCCGGGGCUCAACCCGGAAAGGUCAAUCGAUACUGCAGGGCUAGAGUGCGGAAGGGGCAACUGGAAUUCUCGGUGUAGCGGUGAAAUGCGUAGAUAUCGAGAGGAACACCUGCGGCGAAGGCGGGUUGCUGGGCCGACACUGACGCUGAAGUGCGAAAGCUAGGGGAGCGAACGGG
rnacentral:rRNA from 1 species